AAUUAAAUACAUUCGCAAUUUGCAUUCUAAACAAGCUCCCUGGACUAAAUCUGCUGGCUGCAUUGUUUUCUUGGCUCAUAUUCAUUUGUUAAUAAUGUGUUGUUUUUUUGGGAAAUAGCCCUUACUCUGUUGGCUUGGAAGAAGAAUCCAAGGGAAAUGUCAUGCUGAAUUCUACACUAAAAUUCAAAGCAACACGUGUGCAGGAGUGAUCUGGUCAAACAAGGUUACGGUCUCCUGAGAUCCUGUAAUGAGUGGGGUCCAGACAGAAGGUCGACGGUGGAUGCAGAGAAGGAAAGGCAGUCCGGCUUCCUUGGUAAUGGCAGGUGGUGGCAGAGACCACAGAGGACUGCCUCCUCUGCCAGCUACAGCCGUGUCUGUUCCUCAUCGGCUCAUCUGGGCAGCUGCGGGUGUGAGUUGUUGAACUUCAGAGAGAAAACACAUUAGAAAGAGAAGACGCUAAGCUGCAGCCUGUCUGUCUCCAUGUUGAAUAAGAUGGGACAGAGAGGAGGGCUGACUCCUUUCUCCUUUCAGUUUCACAGAGUGAAUAAGUUCUGGAAACCUUAUUAUUAUUAAAUACGGAAGUGCAUGCGUGGAA